rnacentral:tRNA from 1 species
GGAGAGGUGGCAGAGUGGUCGAUUGCUGCGGUCUUGAAAACCGCCGUGGGUUCGCGCCCACCGUGGGUUCGAAUCCCACCCUCUCCGCCA